UACAGAGGUGGCAAGCGUUGUUCGGAAUUACUGGGCGUAAAGGGCGUGUAGGCGGUCUUCUAAGUCAGACGUGAAAUCCCCCGGCUUAACCUGGGAACUGCGUCUGAUACUGGGAGGCUUGAGUAUGGGAGAGGGAUGUAGAAUUCCAGGUGUAGCGGUGAAAUGCGUAGAUAUCUGGAGGAAUACCGGUGGCGAAGGCGGGUCUCUGGGCAGUAACUGACGCUGAGGAGCGAAAGCGUGGGUAGCGAACAGG
rnacentral:rRNA from 1 species